rnacentral:rRNA from 1 species
UUGACCUCAGAUCAAGGACGGAUACCCGCUGAACUUAAGCAUAUCGUUAACCCGG